rnacentral:rRNA from 1 species
AUUGAACGCUGGCGGCAGGCUUAACACAUGCAAGUCGAGCGGGGUGAUGGUGCUUGCACUAUCACUUAGCGGCGGACGGGUGAGUAAUGCUUAGGAAUCUGCCUAUUAGUGGGGGACGACAUCGCGAAAGGGAUGCUAAUACCGCAUACGGUCUACGGGAGAAAGCAGGGGAUCACUGGUGACCUUGCGCUAAUAGAUGAGGCUAAGUCGGAGUAGCUAGUUGGUGGGGUAAAGGCCUACCAAGGCGACGAUCUGUAGCGGGUCUGAGAGGAUGAUCCGCCACACUGGGACUGAGACACGGCCCAGACUCCUACGGGAGGCAGCAGUGGGGAAUAUUGGACAAUGGGGGGAACCCUGAUCCAGCCAUGCCGCGUGUGUGAAGAAGGCCUUAUGGUUGUAAAGCACUUUAAGCGAGGAGGAGGCUCUUUUGGUUAAUACCCAAGAUGAGUGGACGUUACUCGCAGAAUAAGCACCGGCUAACUCUGUGCCAGCCGCCGCCGUAA